GAUUUGCAUAAGGCCCCAGAAGGGUGCCAAAACUCUUCACGCUUUAAACAACAGCCUUUAUUAUUCUGUACAUUUGCCUGAAAUGCUCCCCUGCCACAUCCUUAUCUCUAAUUUGGAGAGAUAUGUAUUUGAAGGGUGGACUGUUUGGUGGAUAAGAAAUUGGUUGGAAGGUUGCAGCCAGAAGAAUGUGGUCGCUGAAUCUAUGUCCAGGUGGAGGCUGCACUCAAAAUUCAGAAUUGGUAUUGUAUUGCAAUUCCUCAUCAAAAACAUGCAGAAUCAUCUUUCUCGUCAAAAACAUUUCAUUGAGAUAGCAGUCUACUGUGCCUCCCAAAAGGAAAGUGCUGAAGAUGUCACUGAAAAUUAUCACCACUUUCUUCUGCAUCAAGAAAAUAUAACUCACAUACAUCUCCUGGGAAUAUGGAAAUUAUGAAUAUUUGAGUCUAUCAUUUUUCCUUGAGGCCUGCCAAUGAGGCACAGGAGGUUGUUGAACUUGGAGUGAUAAUGUUCUUUCAAAGGCAGCAGCAAGUGGAUGUCAGGUCUCAGUCUUUGGAUACUCCAACUAACAAAAGUUUCUGGUUUAUCUUUCCUGGAUUCCCUUUACAGAAAGGGAGCUAGCUAAGGUAUGUUUUUUGUAAAAUGUUUUAUAGUAUGAGAAAAAAUGUUAGGUAUGGAUUGUUGUGUUGUAUUUAUAUAGUGAAUGUUCAUCUCACUGGUAUAGAUGACUGUUAAUAUUUUCUAUUGAUUAAUUGAAUAAUAUAUAUAUAUUGUCUAAAGGAAGCUUGUGAUUCAAAACUCAGAUUAUUUUAGUAUUGCAGAGAAUAUAAGAAGUUCACUUGUAAAUCAAAUAUUUGUUGAGACAUGAUAUGAGACAUAUCAUUACCUGAAUAUAUUAGCAUGCUGAGCUGUGGAUUAAGAACGCUCUUUUGUUGUUGUUGUUGUUGUUGUUUUUUCUCCUGAAAAUACUUUAU
ensembl:lncRNA